GAUGAACGCUAGCUACAGGCUUAACACAUGCAAGUCGAGGGGAAACGAUAUUGGAAGCUUGCUUCCGAUAGGCGUCGACCGGCGCACGGGUGAGUAACGCGUAUCCAACCUGCCCAUCACUUGGGAAUAACCUUGCGAAAGUAAGACUAAUGCCCAAUGACAUUUAUAGAAGGCAUCCGAAAUGAAUUAAAGAUUUAUCGGUGAUGGAUGGGGAUGCGUCUGAUUAGCUUGUUGGCGGGGUAACGGCCCACCAAGGCGACGAUCAGUAGGGGUUCUGAGAGGAAGGUCCCCCACAUUGGAACUGAGACACGGUCCAAACUCCUACGGGAGGCAGCAGUGAGGAAUAUUGGUCAAUGGACGAGAGUCUGAACCAGCCAAGUAGCGUGCAGGAUGACGGCCCUAUGGGUUGUAAACUGCUUUUAUAAGGGAUAAAGUGUGCCACGUGUGGCAUAUUGCAGGUACCCUAUGAAUAAGGACCGGCUAAUUCCGUGCCAGCAGCC
rnacentral:rRNA from 1 species